CCUGUUCGAGCGUCAUUACAACCCUCAAGCUCUGCUUGGUAUUGGGUGUCACUGUCUGUGCACCUUAAAAUCAGUGGCGGUGCCAUCUGGCUUCUAGCGUAGUAAUACUUCCCGCUAUGGAGUUUUGGUGUAUGCUUGCCAUCAACCCCUAAUUUUUAAAGGUUGACCUCGGAUCAGGUAGGGAUACCCGCUGAACUUAA
rnacentral:misc_RNA from 1 species